UCUGGAGUCAUUGGAGCCGAGAUGUGUUUCCUGGAUGCAGCAUAUUGCUGGGUCUAGUUUUUUAAGCCAUCCAGCCACUCUGUAUCUUUUGAUUGGAGAAUUCAAU